rnacentral:lncRNA from 1 species
GGGUAUCUCACAUGUGCAUCUGCAAGCCUGGGAGAGAUUUCCUCACCUCACUUCCCAGUGCACCUCAAUGGGCCAAAAUAUGCUCUCAAGCUUCAGCAUCGCUGCUGGCUGCUGGCUGUGGCAACACCGCUGUGCUCACCUUUGACAGAGCUCUCCUGACCAGAAAGGGGGAUGCACAGGAGGAAGACGAUAACAAGUGAGAGCACACUCCCACCACCA